rnacentral:rRNA from 1 species
CACGAACCGUACGAACGUUAUUCGGAAUUACUGGGCUUAAAGGGUUGUAGGCGGCCACGUAAGUCAGGUGUGAAAUCCCUCGGCUCAACCGAGGAAUGGCGCUUGAUACUGCGUGGCUUGAGGAGACAGGGUAAGCGGAACUGAUGGUGGAGCGGUGAAUGACGUUGAUAUCAUCAGGAACACCGGUGGCGAAAGCGGCUACUGGGUCUCUUCUGACGCUG